GGAGUCUCACUCUGUCACCCAGGCUGGAGUGCAAUGGCACGAUCUUGGCUCACUGCAACCUCCACCUCCCAGGUUCAAGUUCAAGUGACUCUCCUGCCUCAGCCUCCCGAGUAGGUGGAAUUACAGGCACACGCCACCAUGCCUGGCUAAUUUUUGUAUUUUUAGUAGAGAUGGGGUUUCACCUAAAAAAAAUAUAUAUAUACAAAAAAUUAGCCAGGCGUGGUGGUGGGCGCCUGUAGUCCCAGCUACUUGGGAGGUUGAGGCAGGAGAAUGCCGUGAACCUGGGAGGCAGAGUUUGCAGUGAGCAGAGAUCAUGCCACUGCACUCCAGCCUGGGCGACAGAGAGAGACUCUGUCUCAAAAAAAAAACAAAAAAAACACACACACACAAAAUUGUGGGGCUUGGUGGUGUGCACCUGUAUUCACAGCUACUCAGGAGACUGAGGUGGGAAGAUCACUUGAUACCAUAAGGUUGAGGCUGAGGUGAGCCAAGAUUGCACCACUGCAUUCCAGCCUGGGUGACAGAGCAAGACCCUGUCUUACACAUAUAUACAUAUAUAUUUUUUGUAUUUUUUUAGACAAUACAUAUACAUUUACAUAUAUAUAUAUAUAUAUAUAUAUAUAUAUAUAUAUAUAUAUAUAUAUUUUUUUUUUUUUUAGAUGGAGUCUCACUCUGUCGCCCAGGCUGGAGUACAGUGGUGAGAUCUUGGCUCACUGCAACCUCUGCCUCCCAGGUUCAAGCUAUUCUCCUGCCUUAGCCUCCCAAGUAGCUGGGAUUACAGGUGCAUGCCAC
rnacentral:lncRNA from 10 species